ensembl:snoRNA SNORA70 Small nucleolar RNA SNORA70
UUGCAGCCCAUUGAGCCAACUGUUCUCUUUUCCCCAUGGGGGCCUAGUGUGCAAGGGCUGCAAACAGCAGCCUCCUUAGUAGUGUUGGAAGCCUGUAGCCUGUACAGGUUGCCCUAAGGUACCUCGGAGACAUCC